rnacentral:lncRNA from 1 species
GUAACUGUUAGGUUGAAUGCCCUCCACCAAUACCCUGGACUGUAACUGUUAGGUUGAAUGCCCUCCACCAAUACCCUGGACUGUAACUGUUAGGUUGAAUGCCCUCCACCAAUACCCUGGACUGUUACUGUUAGGUUGAAUGCCCUCCUCCAAUCCCCUGGACUGUUACUGUUAGGUUGAAUGCCCUCCACCAAUACCCUGGACUGUAACUGUUAGGUUGAAUGCCCUCCACCAAUCCCCUGGACUGUAACUGUUAGGUUGAAUGCCCUCCACCAAUACCCUGGACUGUAACUGUUAGGUUGAAUGCCCUCCACCAAUACCCUGGACUGUAACUGUUAGGUUGAAUGCCCUCCUCCAAUCCCCUGGACUGUUACUGUUAGGUUGAAUGCCCUCCACCAAUACCCUGGACUGUAACUGUUAGGUUGAAUGCCCUCCUCCAAUCCCCUGGACUGUAACUGUUAGGUUGAAUGCCCUCCACCAAUACCCUGGACUGUAACUGUUAGGUUGAAUGCCCUCCUCCAAUCCCCUGGACUGUUACUGUUAGGUUGAAUGCCCUCCACCAAUCCCCUGGACUGUUACUGUUAGGUUGAAUGCCCUCCACCAAUACCCUGGACUGUAACUGUUAGGUUGAAUGCCCUCCUCCAAUCCCCUGGACUGUUACUGUUAGGUUGAAUGACUAACGAUGAAGCCUACCGAAGCCUACAGUGAUUUGCUCUGACAGCAUUUUCUAUGUUAAUUUGACUAAUGAGUAACAUUUAAAGUAUUUUUUAAAGAGGUACUCAUGUCAACAAAUGAAUGGAGUUUCUUUUACAGGGAGAGCUGUAUGAACGGGGGAUAGACACUAUGAGGAAAUGGGAGGGGAGAGGAGGGGACGUCACAUAGUUUUACAACCUGAAGGAUGAAC